rnacentral:rRNA from 1 species
UACGGAGGGGGCUAGCGUUGUUCGGAAUUACUGGGCUUAAAGCGCACGUAGGCGGCUUCGCAAGUCAGAGGUGAAAGCCCGGGGCUCAACCCCGGAACUGCCUUUGAGACUGCGUCGCUCGAAUCCGGGAGAGGCGGGUGGAAUGUGCCGUGUAGAGGUGAAAUUCUUAGAUAUUGGGAAGAACACCAGUUGCGAAGGCGGCCCGCUGGACCGGCAUUGACGCUGAGGUGCGAAAGCGUGGGGAGCAAACAGG